rnacentral:piRNA from 1 species
AUCUGUAGCCUGGUAUAGAAGAG